CACAAUCCAUAACCCUAAAAAAUCUAAAUCUUAUUUUCUCUUCUUCUCUUCUCUUCUUCAUCCUCUUGACUCUUCACACCUUCUUCUUCUUUCUCCCUAGGGUUAAGAGUAAUGAGAAGCUAUGAUUUUGGCUAAGCAGCCAUGAGUGAGUUGAGAGAGAACGAAUUGAAGUUGUGAUGAAGUGUUUGAGCUUGUCGACGAUGGUGGUAAAGGUUGGGUACGAUCGACCGUACAAAGAGUGCCAACGAGUGUCGUGGAGGCUAGAGAGGCAGAGUAAUCGUUGUGGGGAAAAGGUGGAGGAGGGAAAGGUGCGGUGCGACAGAUUAAGAUCUCGUGACUCUUCAAGGCAUGGCAGAGGCGUCUCUUUCUAUUAAUAUCGCCGAGCGAAAGGAGCAGGUCUCGAUCUCAUUCGUUUGAUUUUAGCUGCACCAGAUGGGUCGAUCCAAGUCUUUACGACGCCUGGGAUACAAGCAAGCUCAGAAUCGCCAGAAAUCUAAACUACCCAUCGUUCACCGUGGGAAGAAAAACCGGAGAUGAAAAUUACAGAGCAAGACUUCUUUCUUUUUCCUGAUUGGCUUUGUAUCAUCUUUCUCGGUUUCAGUGUGUUCUUUGUUUGUGUUCUGUGUUGCGCUGGCUUGUGUUAUUGGACUUGCUGUUUGCUGUUGUCUUCCAUGUAUAAUUGCAAUUAUUUAUGCUGUUGUCUUCCAUGUAUAAUUGCAAUUAUUUAUGCUUUUGCAGACCAGGGAAGAUUGAAGAGAUAGAGCUUCCUACUCCUAAAGUGGAUGUGGUUAUUUCUGAAUGGAUGGGUUACUUUUUUUUGUUUGUAAACAUGUUGGACAGUGUCUUAUACGCUCGUAAUAAAUGGCUUGUUGAUGGUGGAGUUGUGAUACCAGACAAAGCCUCCUUGCAUCUUACGAGAUAGGAAGGGUAUCAGAUUUGUGGAAUAAAGAAUUUGCAGAUCUCUCAAGGUUCCAUUGGUUUGCUGAUUUUGGUGUUUCUAUGGUUUUUGUUUCUUUGAAGGUAUAAAGUGGUACCUAAUGACACUUUGAAGGUUUAAAAUGUGAUUUUGCCUUAAAUGUUUGGUAUUUAGUUGGUUCAAAGAGAAUCAAUAUGUAAACAUAAAACUUAGUAAAUCUUUGCAUAUGCAAUCAAUUGAUGACUGGACCACAUAAUAAAUUACAUAAUAUUGUUUAUUCUUUACCU